UUUUGUUUUUUAAUAAAAAAUGUUUUCUGCUCGGUGAUUUUUAACAGCUGCGGUAAUUUGACCGUGCAAAGGUAGCAUAAUCAUUUGCUUCAUAAUUGGAGGCUUGUAUGAAUGGAAUUACAAGAUUUUUGCUUUAUUAGAAAGAAAUUAAAAAUUUGCUUUUUUAGUGAAGAAGCUAAAAUUUUUUUAUAGGACAAGAAGACCCUUUUGAGCUUUACUAAGUGUUUUUUUAAAAAAUAAAUUUAGUUUGGUUGGGGCGACCAAGGAAGGUGAAUCUUCCUUUAUUUACUUUGAUCCAUGGAUUAUGAUUGAUGGAAUAAGUUACCAAAGGGAUAACAGCGUAAUUUUUUUUGUGAGUUCUUAUUUAAAAAAAAGAUUGCGACCUCGAUGUUGACUUAAAUUUUCCUUUUGGUGCAGUAGUUAAAAUGGUAAGUCUGUUCGACUUUUAAA
rnacentral:rRNA from 1 species